GCCCGACAGUAGUGCCUAGUGCUGCAGUCGAACGCUUUGUCUUUAAUUGAUCUGACGAGCUUGCUCUGAAGUGAUUUUAUCUGACAAAGAGUGGCGAACGGGUGAGUAACACGUGGGUAACCUACCUCUUAGCAGGGGAUAACAUUUGGAAACAAGUGCUAAUACCGUAUAAUACCAACAACCGCAUGGUUGUUGGUUGAAAGAUGGUUCUGCUAUCACUAAGAGAUGGACCCGCGGUGCAUUAGCUAGUUGGUAAGGUAACGGCUUACCAAGGCGAUGAUGGAUAGGCGAGUUGAGAGACUGAUCGGCCACAAUGGGACUGAGACACGGCCCAUACUCCUACGGGAGGCAGCAGUAGGGAAUCUUCCACAAUGGGCGCAAGCCUGAUGGAGCAACGCCGCGUGUGUGAUGAAGGGUUUCGGCUCGUAAAACACUGUUAUAAGAGAAGAACGGCACUGAGAGUAACUGUUCAGUGUGUGACGGUAUCUUACCAGAAAGGAACGGCUAAAUACGUGCCAGCAGCCGCGGUAAUACGUAUGUUCCAAGCGUUAUCCGGAUUUAA
rnacentral:misc_RNA from 1 species